AUGAAAGGGCUUCUGUGCCAGGAGAUGAAAUGUCAGCUCCACUAUUCUACUUCUAUGAUGCUGAUUGCAGGGCGCCCUGAGCUCCUGGAAACUCUAGGAGGAAUGGCUGUCCUCUUCCCCCAAGGUGGAGUUGACAGUCACUGCCUGUGCCUUGUCUGCCCGGCAGGCCAGCACUCCAUGGCUGGGAGCAACCUGCAAUGCCCCAUGGGCUUUCACUGCCAGGAUGGAGUAAUGACUCCGUGGCCAGGCCCCACCAGCACCUGCCGUGGGCUCCCAGAACUCACAGACAGCGAGGACUGCCAGUACCCACCUGGACAGGAGCCGGGCCCACAGUGCUCCAGCUGCAUUUUCUGCUCUCUGCACUACUUUGGAGGCAGAAGCCCCAGCUGCCAGCCCUGCCCCUCAGGUUACUUCCAGUCAUGUGGAGCUGCCUUUGUGCUGCGCCGUGCCAGGAGCUGCAAGGACAAGAGGGAGGCGCCCCACCAGGACGCCAGCUUCUGCUCAGCAGUUCUCAGCCUGUGUCUUCGGUGCCCUGCGGGACACUUCUGCCCCAAGAGAGCCACCCGCCCCAUCCCAUGCCAGCCGGGUACAUUUGGCCCCCGCUCAGGCCAGGAUGAAGCCACAGACUGCACCCCUUGCCCAGCAGGCAGGGCCUGUACCCAGGCUGGGCUGACACAGCCCGAUGCAGCGUGCUCACCGGGGUACGCGUGCCCUUCAGGCUCCUCCAGUCCCCACGCUCCCUCCCAUGCCUGCCCUCCCGGGACCUUCAGCAACCGCAGUGACCUCUCCGACCCAUCGCAGUGUGAGAUCUGCCCCGAGGGACUAGCCUGUCCUGGGGGAACCGGGGGCCCAGACUAG
rnacentral:lncRNA from 1 species